UACGGAGGGUGCAAACGUUGCUCGGAAUCAUUGGGCGUAAAGCGCACGUAGGCGGACCGCUAAGUCGGAUGUGAAAGCCCUCGGCUUAACCGAGGAAGUGCAUUCGAAACUGACAGUCUUGAGUAUGGAAGAGGGUCGCGGAAUUCCCGGUGUAGAGGUGAAAUUCGUAGAUAUCGGGAGGAAUACCAGUGGCGAAGGCGACUGUCUGGGAUAUUCCUGACGCUGAGGAGCGAAAGCGUGGGGAGCAAACGGG
rnacentral:rRNA from 1 species